UACGUAGGGUGCGAGCGUUGUCCGGAAUUAUUGGGCGUAAAGAGCUCGUAGGCGGUGUGUCACGUCGUUCGUGAAAACUUGCAGCUUAACUGUGGGCGUGCGGUCGAUACGGGCAUCACUGGAGUUCGGCAGGGGAGACUGGAAUUCCUGGUGUAGCGGUGAAAUGCGCAGAUAUCAGGAGGAACACCGGUGGCGAAGGCGGGUCUCUGGGCCGGUACUGACGCUGAGACGCGAAAGCGUGGGGAGCGAACAGG
rnacentral:rRNA from 1 species